rnacentral:lncRNA from 1 species
AUUGGGCCCCGGCAUGGCAUCCGUGCUUGUGACGAAGAUGCUGGCGUCUGCCCUGAGCCCUCUGCUCCGUUGGAGCCCUCCCCUGGCGAUGCCCCGCGCGCUCUCCACUCUCCUGCCCGGAUCCCAUCGCGCUGCCGGUGCUGCUGGUGCGAAGCCCAGGGCGUGGGAGCUCGCGGGACUGCCCGGCCGCCUGCUGCCCGGCCUGCAGCUGCCCAGCCUACAGCUUGCCCUGGGGUUCAAGACCAAGGGCGUCAUCAAGGAGCGCUGCAAGGACUGUUACCGGGUGAAGAGGCGCGGCCGCUGGUUCAUCUACUGCAAAACGAACCCAAAGCACAAGCAGAGACAGAUGUAGUUCCCAUCACUAAAAUGACGUGCGAAACUGCAUCACUUCCUUGCGGAAUGGUACCGUCUAUCCACAGAAAAAUAAAAUGUAAACAUUACCUAAUCGACCUUCAGGUCUUCUUGACUCUGCUACCCAGGCAUGUCACCUGUAGCAGCCCAGUCCCAUCAGCUAUGCAAGCAGAGCCCCAGUACGGGAAAUGCACCGUUUUAUCUUCUGUGCAUGCUGUGUGCACUCGGGCUGGAGGGCAGAAGGGCCUGUCCACUGCUCCCUUCUGCUUGCGGGAAUCAUCGCAUUUGCCCAUCUCAGCUCCACUCCCAGGGCCACUCAUCUCUCAUGCAAAGCCACCAAAGUCCCAGCAGGAACGCCGAUGGAAGUGGCAGUCUCCAAGCUGCUCCUCCCUCCGGAAGAGGAAAUGUACGCAGACAGCCAGGGUGCCUCUGUCAUCCUGCAACAUGACGGGAGGUUCACUAGCAGAUGUGAAAACACGCGGAGGUGGUAGAACGGUUAAAGCGGCGCGUGUGCUCAGCGGGACUGAGUAGAUCCGGGCAGAGGUCUCCAGUGAGCCUUCACCUGGAAGGGGUGGAAGGGGCACCUCGGAAGGAGAAGGAAAGCACGAAGAACUCGGUCAGCGGCUUGGGUCCGCCGAGUACCCCUGUGAAAGGCUGGACUUGCUACCACACCCCACGCGUGCAGCAAGCUUUCCACGUGUCACAGGGAAGCCAAGUCAGGACGUGUGGCGAGGAGAAUUGUGGGAAAUGAUUUGCAUAAAUUUGGGGUAGGAAGACCUCCUCUUCAUCAAGGUCCAGACUCCCAAAGUCAGCAGAGAAGAAACACAGCAGGCUCACUUUAGCAGGUGAAAGCCCGUGCUCCCGGGCUAUGAGGAGCUAGCCGUGAAAGCGGCCACUUGGCACCAGAUGCUGGAUGGCAGAGAACUGGUCUACAUUCCCUACGCUGUUUCCCAACACCGUGGCAGGCUCCGUCUGCUCCAGGAGCCAAAUCUCCAAACCCGACUCACCGUGCAGCCUCUGGCUCCUGGUCAGGAGGGAAGGAAAAUCAGAUCCCCUCCCUCCUGCCAUGGAGAGCACACCCUAUCACCUUGGCCCUCUGUCCCCUCAGGGGAAGCUGGCAACCAGUCCUGAGCUUUCCAAUUCCCAGAGACACAGUCUCACACCACUGGGGUGGCUCCCUCUGUGCUGGUCCUCAGGGUCCUGUCCACCCUCCCGGUCUCCCCUCUGACAAUGCUGCCUCAGGGGGCAGGGGCCUGGAGGUCGGGCCCACAGUCCCCCCUGAAAAGCAUGGACAGUCCACUAGGGCCUCCGCAGACCCUCCAGGACGAGGGGGAAUGUCACCAUUCAGCACAUUCUGCAGGACAAGACGGACAGGGAGGGAAUCCACACAUGGAUGGCAGCAUCCCAGGGAGGGUUGCAGGCAUGCAUAAGGCAUUGCAAACCCUAGAGGUCCAACAAGCUAACAGAGAAACGGACAGAAGACAUGAAUAGGGAGAGUCCAAGAAAAUACACUGAGAUAUCGUGGAUCUCACUAGUAAUCAUGGAAGUGAGAGGAAAGUAGAAAUGAAGCACGUGUUCGCCCAUCAGAUUUGCAGAAGUUAAGCAGAGAAUGCUCUUCAGUGUGGCAAGCUGCUGCUGAGUGUGGACUCCCGUCCCCUGUGGGCGGUGGUGCCUGUGUAGGGACCAGACAGCAACCUCCACAUAUAACACGUGUGCCCCUCCCGGCCCCACUUUAUGGCGUGCUUGGUGAAGUACUUGCACACGGAGAGAAUUCUGGGAGGCUGUUCUCAGAGCAGUAUUGUCACGGCAAAGAGCUGGAACGAGCUCGGGGUUGUGCGGAGGUUAGUGGUUACGGAAAGUCUGGGAGGAGCCCUGGGACAAAGGACACGGCCUCUGUGAGCCACGGGACACCAGCUGGGAUGUGUCUCUGCAUCUUGCCUCUGGAAGAAAGUUCCACGACAGUGUGCAAAGUGUGUUUUCAUGUAUGUGAGCAUUACACUCAAAAAUCUAACCACAUGUUUUUCCAAGUAAAAAUAUUUGGUAAGAAAAGUUCUCGAGAAGCACACACCAAAUAGCAAUGACAGGUACUUCUAGAGGGCACGGGACGGGGCGGGAAGGUCUGGAGCGGCUGUCUCUGUUGCAAUAGAGUUUGUUUUGCUUUGUUGGGAGGAGUUAGGUUUGUGUCUCACUUGUACAGCCUGAGAGAAGAAUGUAGGAACCUGUGGACAGGAUGCCCCAUGGAAGAGAAUUUGAGCCACAUAACACUGCAGGAGAAUUGAGCCCCUGCACGGCCUCCCCCCAGGCCUCCUCUCUGGGCCGUGCGGUGCCGCUUCUUCCUGGGGUCGAGCCGCUAACACCAGGGGC